rnacentral:piRNA from 1 species
UGUUAAAAGAGAGAGUCAGGAAAACAGGC